CCUUUCGGGGGUACUCGAGCGGCGAACGGGUGAGUAACACGUGAGUAAUCUGCCCUGCGCUCUGGGAUAGCCACCGGAAACGGUGAUUAAUACCGGAUAGGACCACUUCACGCAUGUGAUGGUGGUGGAAAGUUUUUUCGGCGCAGGAUGUGCUCGCGGCCUAUCAGCUUGUUGGUGAGGUAACGGCUCACCAAGGCUUUGACGGGUAACCGGCCUGAGAGGGUGACCGGUCACACUGGGACUGAGACACGGCCCAGACUCCUACGGGAGGCAGCAGUGGGGAAUAUUGGACAAUGGGCGGAAGCCUGAUCCAGCAACGCCGCGUGAGGGAUGACGGCCUUCGGGUUGUAAACCUCUUUCAGUACCGACGAAGCGAAAGUGACGGUAGGUACAGAAGAAGGACCGGCCAACUACGUGCCAGCAGCCGCGGUAAUACGUAGGGUCCGAGCGUUGUCCGGAAUUAUUGGGCGUAAAGGGCUCGUAGGCGGUUUGUCGCGUCGGGAGUGAAAACACCGGGCUUAACUCGGUGCUUGCUUUCGAUACGGGCAGACUAGAGGUAUGCAGGGGAGAAUGGAAUUCCUGGUGUAGCGGUGAAAUGCCUAGAUAUCAGGAGGAACACGGUGGCGAAGGCG
rnacentral:rRNA from 1 species